rnacentral:lncRNA from 1 species
AUUUUCCGGUUAGCCUUCGGGGUGUCCGCGUGAGAAUUGGCUAUAUCCUGGAGCGAGUGCUGGGAGGUGCUAGUCCGCCGCGCCUUAUUCGAGAGGUGUCAGGGCUGGGAGACUAGGAUGUCGGACACGUGGAGCUCUAUCCAGGCCCACAAGAAGCAGCUGGACUCUCUGCGGGAGAGGCUGCAGCGGAGGCGGAAGCAGGACUCGGGGCACUUGGCUCACUUUUACCGGACGGACGCUUGAGCCCCACCCUCGUCCGCCUUGCCCACUCCUCUUCAGACUGCGAGGACGUCGCCUUUGUGAGGCUGCUCAGCCCCCUAUCCCGCGAAGCAGCAAGAACCCCUUUUUGUUGCUGCUUUGGCGCUUUGUUCCCUCAGUUAUAACGACUGUUUUGUAGUGGUCAUUUCUUGGCAGCUGUGGGUACAGUAAGCGAGGAAUGAACCUUUAUAUCCGCAGUGCCCAAUUUAGUGGCCCGUACAGAGUGGCACUGGGUGUUUCUGAAUGAGUACCCCUACCGGCAUUGACUUAGCCAUUUACAUACCUAGCAGGAAUCUGAAAACAUU